CGAGAAACGUCGACGGUUGUGUUUCGUGUUUUUCCAAUGGUGUUUGGUAGUGAUUCUUCCCUUGGAGAGACUGAAUUAAUAAGGUUUAAAGGAUUCGAGAAGGGCAGCCUUGGAUUCUGGCUUACGAUAGGAGAGUGGACAGGGUGGAAGUAGCAGCGUCAUGUGGUCCGAAACCGAAUAAAUAAGGCUAUAGGAUUCCAGAAGGGCAGCCUUAUAAAGGUAGGAUUUUUCUUUUUCGGUGCAUGGGUGGUGGUAUUCUAUUUUUUGUGUAUUUAAAAGAGGGGGGGAGUGAAUAUAGUGAAUACUGUGACUACAAAGAAAACCAACCAGGUAAUUAUUUUAACUGACCUUCGUAUAGUCAUCUUGAUGAUGUAAGACUGAUUGCAAUGAUUCUCUCGUGGCAUGAAACAGUUACCCUAAAACGUCCGGUAUGACUAUAAUUCACAGCCGUAUCGGUUUCUUUCAGUUUUCUUGUAAAUGAGGCCAUGAGGAACUAUUCCAGUCAAUUUUUUCGUUACCAAAGAUUGUCAUACGAAGAUCACGUUUUUAAAGGAAGGUAAGUGAUUAAUCCACCAUAGGCUUAUGUUCGUUUAUUAAUGUAUAAGAUGAUCUUAACAUUGAGAUGAAAGACCACAUUGAGGUAAUUGAUUAAUAAAGGAACAGAGCCAAUAAAUGUUUUUUAUAACAUGAUUACUUACAAAUCCUUUCGAUUGUUCACAGCGCCAAUGAUGACCCCGCCCUCGUCCUGCAUCUACCUGAGAGGAAUCAACUCGAUUCUGUUGAACACGAUUCAGGCUAAUGAGUGAUCCCAACUCACUAUGCCUGAACGCCGGCUGCGGGUAGCAGCGUCCAGUGGUCCAAAACGGAAUGAAUAAGGCUAAAGGAUUCCAGAAGGGCAGCCUUAUAAAGGUAGGAUUUUUCCUGUUCUAAGCAUGUGACUUGUUGCAUUUUUUUUGUGUAUUUAGCAGUGGGGGAAAAGUGAAUAGUGUAUAAAGUGACCAAAAUAAGAAUCAACGAAUAAUUUUAGCCGAUCUUCGUAUUGUAGUUCUAAUUGAGUUGUGGUUAACUCUCUCAGCGUUAAUCUUGGUGGCGUGAUAGACUGGCAGCGGUCAUUUUUGGAAUGGUCAUCAGCAGUUCACUCCAUAUGAAUUGUUAUGGCCAUGAAUUCAUAGCCAUAGUAAUUUAGUGAAGUGAACAGUUUUCCUCCCCCAGGAAGUACCGCAGCCAGUCAUUAUGUUUCCAAGGAACAUGUCUUAGGGGUUGAUCAUACCCCAUUUAGUAUUGCGUGAAGAUCGGGUUUUUGGUUUUCAAAGGGAGGUGAGUAAUCGUUACAGAAGUGUACGUUUAUGUAAUAAUUAGAUACCUACUCUCAGAUGAUUAGAUGAUUGAUCGUAAGUCAUCUCUGAUUAGGUAGCUAAUUAUUGAACAAACACACUUUAUGAGUACACUUUGGAGGGUGUACUAAUCUCAUUGAUUGUUCACAGAUGACCGGAUUCAAGUCUACCCUAAUCCUGGUGAACUCAAGUUUCAAUCGAACUAGUGUUUGGAAUAUCUCACCAGUCCCGCUUGCCAGUGGUCCACCGACGUGUACGAGUGCAGUUGGAGAUCCUCUGCCGCCAACUCUCCCCAUCCAUGGCGAUUAAGAAAGACGUGAUCUUCAUGCAAAUAAAGG